GAGCGGACCUCUUCGGAGGUCAGCGGCGGACGGGUGAGUAACACGUGGGCAACCUGCCUGUAAGACUGGGAUAACUCCGGGAAACCGGAGCUAAUACCGGAUACUAUGUCAAACCGCAUGGUUUGACAUUCAAAGACGGUUUCGGCUGUCACUUACAGAUGGGCCCGCGGCGCAUUAGCUAGUUGGUGAGGUAAUGGCUCACCAAGGCGACGAUGCGUAGCCGACCUGAGAGGGUGAUCGGCCACACUGGGACUGAGACACGGCCCAGACUCCUACGGGAGGCAGCAGUAGGGAAUCUUCCGCAAUGGACGAAAGUCUGACGGAGCAACGCCGCGUGAGUGAUGAAGGUUUUCGGAUCGUAAAACUCUGUUGUCAGCCAAGAACAAGUGCCGGAGUACUGCCG
rnacentral:rRNA from 1 species